GGUCUCACCUGCCCUGUGACACUAUGUUUAACGGCCGCGGUAUCCUAACCGUGCGAAGGUAGCGCAAUCAAUUGCCCCUUAAAUGGGGGCCUGUAUGAAUGGUAUGACGAGGGUUUAGCUGUCUCUUUUUUCUAGUCAGUGAAACUGAUCUGUCCGUGCAGAAGCGGACAUUUUUAUACAAGACGAGAAGACCCUAUGGAGCUUUAGACACUAGCCAACUAUCAAAAGCACCUCCCCCACGGAGUUCCAACUUAGAUAGCUAUGGUGAUGUGAUCUUAGGUUGGGGCGACCAUGGGAGAAAAACUAGCUCCCAAGAGGAUGGGAAAAUUUUCUAAAGCCAAGAGUGGCAACUCAAAGCCGCAAAACUUUUGACUUCAUGAUCCGGCAUAAAGCCGAUUAACGAACUAAGUUACCCUAGGGAUAACAGCGCAAUCCCCUCCCAGAGUCCCUAUCGACAAGGGGGUUUACGACCUCGAUGUUGGAUCAGGAUAUCCUAAUGGUGCAACCGCUAUUAAGGGUUCGUUUGUUCAACGAUUAAAAUCCUACGUGAUCUGAGUUCAGACCGGA
rnacentral:rRNA from 1 species